UUUUCCAGCUAUAUAAAUGGAUUUGUAAAUAGUCUCUCCACUUCUAUCCACGCACUGCCCCUUUAUUUUUAAUCAAUAAUGCAAAUAUGACCAUGGCUAAGACUUAAUUUGUGUCUCUGAGCAAAGAGUUAAAGUUUCACACAGAACUCAAACCUUAGGUUGGUCGCAUUAGUACCAUUUUAACCAAUCGAAUCACUAGGCAAAGUUGUAACAAGAAAAAUGAAGAAGCUAAUUUUUAAAACUGUAAAACAUUCACUGUGCUUCGUUUUAAAUUCAUUUGCUGUUUCAGGAGCAAAACUUAAUCUUAUUCAAUUAGGUAACUAAUGUGUACUGAUAUUUUGUUGAUAUGAUACAUUGAGAAAUAUUUUACUGUAUCUCUAAUUUUGGACUUUGGGUGUGGAGGCAAAGCAAUGUGGGAAACUCAGAGAUGAGUCAGAAGACUCCUCUUACCAUGGAAAUUAAAGAUUGGCUGAAGAAGUAAAAUACCUAAAUGAUUACAAAAUAAAGUAUAAAUAUUAUGCAUAUUUAUUAAACACUGUAAUGAUAGUGACUUUUAAAUAAAUGGUAGCUUAAUCAAUU
rnacentral:lncRNA from 1 species